UACGGGGGGUGCGAGCGUUGUCCGGAAUCACUGGGCGUAAAGGGCGCGUAGGUGGCGUGAUAAGGGUGUGGUGAAAGCCCGGGGCUCAACCCCGGGUCUGCCAUGCCGACUGUCAGGCUAGAGUACUGUAGGGGCAGGCGGAAUUCCGGGUGUAGCGGUGGAAUGCGUAGAGAUCCGGAGGAAGACCGGUGGCGAAGGCGGGUAGCUGGGCCGACACUGACGCUGAGGCGCGAAAGCCAGGGGAGCGAACGGG
rnacentral:rRNA from 1 species